rnacentral:rRNA from 1 species
CGCAUCUGUGCAUGCAGCAUAUCAAUAAGCGGAGGAAAAGAAACUAACAAGGAUUCCCCUAGUAACGGCGAGUGAAGCGGGAAGAGCUCAAAUUUGAAAUCUUCAAGGUUUUACCUUGACGAAUUGUAGUUUAAAGAAGUGUUUUUCUGCUGAAGUUUUAGGUAAAAGUUCUUUGGAAUAGGACAUCAUAGAGGGUGAGAAUCCCGUAUUUGACCACUAUUUUUCAGCUUUGUGAUACACUUUCAAAGAGUCGGAUUGUUUGGGAAUGCAGUCCAAAAUGGGUGGUAAAUUUCAUCUAAAGCUAAAUAUUGGCGAGAGACCGAUAGCGAACAAGUACCGUGAGGGAAAGAUGAAAAGAACUUUGAAAAGAGAGUUAAACAGUACGUGAAAUUGUCAAAAGGGAAGCGUUUUGACACCAGUGUUGUUUUUCUCGAAAAUCAAUUAAAGAAUGGCUCGAUUUAUGUAAGUUGCUUAGACCUUAUAAGCUCAACUGUUACAGUUUUUCGUAGUCUUUUUUUAAUGCACUUUUCAGUUUAACAAGUCAACAUCAAUUUUCUUUUGUUGUAAAAAGGGUCAUUGAGGAAGGUGGCUUGAGCUUUUCGUAUAAAGUGUUUUAUAGCCUCUUGGCCUCUGCAAGUCGAAGAGACUGAGGUCUGCAGCGUAGACUCCUUCGGGGUUAAAUAGCAUUUGUGCUAAGUUAUAGCAUUUUUAUAGACAACUUGUUGACUAUAAUUAGUCUUGUAGCUUACUCGCUUAUGCUAUUUUACCUACGCUUAGGAUGUUGAUAGUCACAGCGUGUAC